CCGUCUUCUUCCUCCAGCCAAUCGAGGUUGAGUAGAGGCAGGACGAGGAGGAGGGGCCCAAUUCAGAUAGAGGCGGAGCUAGACCCAGGUGUAGAUGGAAAAGUCGUCUGUAAUGGAGUGGAGGUGUCAUUCCAGGGCCAGGAGUGGCGGGGUUUCCCCAGUUACUCCAGAAGCUCAAAUACCUAUAUCUGUUCUAGUAGGAGAAAUAUGCAGCUUUUAGUGGCCAAGUGUCCAAGAUUUUCUGAGCCAGUCCUGGUUUGAGGCAGGACUUUGGGAGGACUCUCUUAAAGGAGUCACU
rnacentral:lncRNA from 1 species